AUCUGACCAAAAAUCAAACUGUGAAAUAACGGUAAAUGGAGAUCAAAACCAAGGAGGAGCUUCCGCCCAAGAGCUGAUGACAUCUACAAUGUCAGCAGAGCUAGCUGAAUCAUUCUAUGAAGACCUAGAGAGACAAAGAGAAGCAGAAAAAG